UUCUUCCUAUUCAAUGUUUUGCUUCCUUCUCAUCAUUAAACAAAGGAGAACAAGAAGUCUUAAGUGACUUACUUGCUACUGUUGUUCACCUCUGGUCUCUUCACUCUCAGCAUUGUAUUUUUCGAAGAUUGAAUGGGUGAAGAUUACUUUAGUCUCAAUGACUAAUAAUACUUGCCUUCCUCUCAAAGAUGAUGUGAGAACUAACAUCCUAUGAGUAAUGUUCACAGGAAGAAAAGUUAGUUAGCUAGAUAUUAAAUGAUCAUGCAAGCAAUAUAUGGUUACUCAAAAUGCUCUCAUAUGUGUUGAACUAUUCAUCUAGAUCAUUAUGCUGUCUCAGAAAGAACACUUCAUCAUGAGAUGCCCUUAACACUUAUUUACAAGGCAAAGCUUUUUCAGAGUAUCUAUCUUGGCUCAACCAAGACUCCACAGGUCACUCUCAAGAUACUAAUCAGUGAGAAGAGCACAAGGGGCACAGACAUGACCAGACCCAGCGGGGAGGAGCUGAAGGAGGAGGAAGAAAUGGGAAGACAGGCUCCUCGCAACCCCCAUUGCAUCGUCUACUCUUCUCAAGGCAAAUAAUCCAAGUUCCAAUAGCCUUAAAUCGCAGGGGCAACAGUAAAACUCCAAAUGAUCCUUCUUGCUUGGAACUUAGCCUGCUGCUUGCAACAUCUCUUGUUGCUCCUGAGGUUAAAUCCAAUGGAAAGGGAUAAGAAGAAAUAUGAAAAAGACAGUGUUGAAAAAUAAUAUUAGCAAAUCUACUUUUUUUAUGUUAAAUUAAUUAUUCUUUGAUUUAUUCAUUCAAAACAUAUGUACUAGGCACUUACGAUGUUCCAGGUAGUAAUAUAGACACAGUGUCUACUGUGGAUCUAAGAGUGGAGCAUCUAAGGCUCUACCCUCAAGGAGAUUAUUUUCCAGUCAGGGAAACAGACAACAAACUAAGAGACAAAGCGAUAUAUAAUGGGAUGUCUGGUAUCAUAAAUGCCAAUGUGUGUGAAGCUCUGUACCAAGAAUUUACUUACACAGAGCUCACCUUCUCCUCACAACUCAAAUGAGAUAGGAUUGUUGUUUUAUUUUCUUCUGAAAAGACAGUUUCAGAGCAGAAAGGAACUUGUCCCAGGUUAUCCUCGAAGAAGCUGAGCUCAGGUCUGCCUGGCCCCACAAUCUGUAGUCAACCAGGUGGGUCUGUUUGGACUCCCCCUCUGCCAACCUACAUCUGCCUGUCCUGAAAGAUGCCUUCCCGAGCUUGCCCUCUCUGAGGUCUCAGAGCACUGCCUGCUUGUAGAAUUCAGUUAGCAAUUAACCGUGGGCAACCUUAUGGGAGUUGCCAUCUCUUUUUAUUUAGAUCUGUUAUUGACAUAUUUUAUUUUUAUUUAGCCUGAUCAUGAU
rnacentral:lncRNA from 1 species